CGGCGGACGGGUGAGUAACACGUGGAUAACCUACCUAUAAGACUGGGAUAACUUCGGGAAACCGGAGCUAAUACCGGAUAAUAUUUUGAACCGCAUGGUUCAAAAGUGAAAGACGGUCUUGCUGUCACUUAUAGAUGGAUCCGCGCUGCAUUAGCUAGUUGGUAAGGUAACGGCUUACCAAGGCAACGAUGCAUAGCCGACCUUAGAGGGUGAUCGGCCACACUGGAACUGAGACACGGUCCAG
rnacentral:rRNA from 1 species